AAAACGACUCUCGGCAACGGAUAUCUCGGCUCACGCAUCGAUGAAGAACGUAGCAAAAUGCGAUACUUGGUGUGAAUUGCAGAAUCCCGUGAACCAUCGAGUUUUUGAACGCAAGUUGCGCCCGAAGCCUUUUGGUUGAGGGCACGUCUGCCUGGGCGUCACGC
rnacentral:rRNA from 1 species